rnacentral:rRNA from 1 species
AAGCGGAGGAAAAGAAACUAACAAGGAUUCCCCUAGUAACGGCGAGUGAAGAGGGAAGAGCUCAAAUUUGAAAUCUGGCGUGCUCAGCGCGUCCGAGUUGUAAUCUACAGAGUCGUUUUCCGUGCCGGACCGUGUCCAAGUUCCUUGGAACAGGAUAUCAAAGAGGGCGACAAUCCCGUACUUGACACGACGACCGGUGCCCUGUGAUACGUCUUCUAUGAGUCGAGUUGUUUGGGAAUGCAGCUCUAAACGGGCGGUGAGUUCCAUCUAAGGCUAAAUAUUGGCGAGAGACCGAUAGCGAACAAGUACCGUGAGGGAAAGAUGAAAAGCACUUUGGAAAGAGAGUUAAACAGUACGUGAAAUUGUUGAAAGGGAAACGAUUGAAGUCAGUCGUGUCCUCGAGGCUCAGCCGGUUCUGCCGGUGUAUUCCUCUUGGACGGGUCAACGUCAGUUCUGUCCGGCGGAUAAGGGCCUUGGGAAUGUAGCACCCCUCGGGGUGUGUUAUAGCCCAGGGUCACAUACGUCGGGUGGGACUGAGGACUGCAGCUCGCCUUCAUUGGCCGGGGUUCGCCCACGUUCGAGCUUAGGAUGUUGAAGUAAUGGCUUUAACGA